GGCAGCGAUCUACUAGCCCCAAGAGAUCGAGAUACUGACAUGUGGAUACGCGGUUUAGACUGCGAUCCACGUGAAGAGUGUCGUCCAGAGAGAACCCCACACGCGACAUAGUGUAACACACUCUGUGUUAUACAGGCGUGUGUGACACAUACCAGGGUGUAUUCUAUAAUUCUCGUGUGUUGUGCUAUACCCACGCCCUUUCGUAAACUUUAGCUGUUUAAUAUUAAGUGACAGGGAACCUUGCCUUUCCCCAUCGGGUUUUCCUCCAGUAUCUCUACCCCUUUUCACCGCUACACCUGGAAAUUCUACUUCCCUCUCACAUAUCCUACCACCACCAGUAUCACAUGCAGUUCCCGGGUUAAGCCCGGGGAUUUCACAUGUGACUUAAUGAGCCACCUACACUCGCUUUACGCCCAGUAAUUCAGAUUAACGCUCGCACCCUCUGUAUUACCGCGGCUGCUGGCACAGAGUUAGCCGGUGCUUAUUCUGCAGGUAACGUCUAAUCUAAUGGGUAUAAACCAAUAGCCUCUCCUCCCUGCUUAAAGUGCUUUACAACCAAAAGGCCUUCUUCACACACGCGGCAUGGCUGGAUCACGGUUGCCCCCAUUGUCCAAUAUUCCCCACUGCUGCCUCCCGUAGGAGUCCGGACCGUGUCUCAGUUCCGGUGUGACUGAUCAUCCUCUCAGACCAGUUACAGGAUCGUCGCCUUUGGUAGGGCCUUUUACCCCCACCCAAACUAAGCUUAUUCUUGAAUNCUGAGGGCCUCACUUCCUAAUUACGCCAAAGGAAGCUUUGGCCCCCCCCCCCCUUUUCCCCCCCCUGUUUAGGGGGUCUGUUAUUUGCCGGGUUAUUUUAAAUUUUCCAAAGUUUUUCCCCCCCAAAACCCCGAUUCCCCCCCCCCCUUACACUUAAGGGCAAAAAUUUCCCUUAAAUAUUUGUUUUACCUU
rnacentral:rRNA from 1 species